rnacentral:sRNA from 1 species
AUAUACGCAAAUAAUUUACUAUAUUUAAUAUUACUAUCACGCCAGUUUCCCUAAGCCCACUACAAGGAUUUGUAUUGGGCUUUUUUUU